UGGAGUGGUUAAAGUGGUUAAAACGGUUUGAUUUGGUUUAAGAUUUUCAAAAUUUGCGGUUUUCGGUUUUGGUUUGGUUAUAGGUCUCGGUUAACCGAACCGAACCGAAAAACCGAAAUAUCAAUACUACGCCGUUUUUAUCAUUUAUGCACACUACUAUAAAUACUCCUUUUAACACUGAAACCCUAUUCAUUACCCUGCCGCAUCAUCCCUUUCCCUUACCCAAACCCUAAUUCCUCUCUUUCCCUUUUAUUUUCUUUUUUAUUUGCCUCUUUUAUAUUCUGUUGCUCUUAUUUUUGCUCCUCCUUCCAUCUAUCUUCCUUAUCAAGCGUGCUAAUUCUUAUCUUUUUCUCUACUUUUCGUUUCUCAUCGAGCGUGCUAAUGUUUUACAUUUUACGAUUUGAUAUUUCAGCAAAAACACUGGAUUAUAUGGAAGUUUUAGUUAAAUUCUUAACAUUUCAAGGAUCUUCAUUUGGCCACUCUCAUAUUGUUUUAGUUUUUGAUAUUUUGAAUAGAAUGUAAAAUAAUAUGAGAAAUUAGUAAUAUAUUUAAAUCAUAUGUUAAUAUUAAUUUUUAUCUCUUUUUAUGUAGAUCUGUAUUUAGAUUUUUAUGUUUUUUUUCAAUGGUGAACCGAACGAUCGAACCAUGAAAACCAUCCCUAUUUUAUGUGUUUC